UUUGGCCUUAUAGUCACUUCCUACUACCUGAAAGUACUUCUCUCUUAACCUCAUCUCUUCAUCUUGUCACCUACCUGACAUUAAAAAGAAAUUAAUGCCCCAAGGAGAAGAAGACCAGAGGGAAGGAAUGUGAUGGCAUCAAAGCUGAAGGGAUGACAUCUGGGUCCAGGCAUCAGCCACAGCUGGAGCCCCUUGGGCUCUCCUCACAGGAUGAGCUGAGGACCUCCCUCCCUGCUUCAGAAAGUGAGUCAGAACACCUCAAACCCUGGACUACAGGAAAGGAAAACACAUGGCCGCGCGAUCUAAUUGGAUUCAAGGAGAACAAGACCCGCUGGGAUUAUUGGGAGAUUUGAAUCUUCCUUGAUGAAUCUGGAAACCUGGGAGAUUAUAGGACUACAUGGCCCUCAGCUUUUUGCCCCUCUAUGGAAAUGAAAAAGAAGAGAAGAGUCCAGAAACAGUGAGAGCCCAGCUCCUUGGGGAAAUGUCUAGACGUCCCAGAUUAAGCCACAUUUGAAGGAGCAGACUUCCUAGCAACAUGGCCCAAUGGAGUUGAGCUGGUACUAUUACAGGGCAAAAUCGUUACAAGUUCAGUUGUUAAGAAAAUGACAAUACACAAGGAUGGUCUGAUUCUUCAACGUAACAGUUGUUAUUGAAUACUCACUAUGUUGUAAGUACUAUUACCUAAUCUUACAAACAACCAGGCCAGGUAGGUAACAAUCGCCAUUCCUCUUUAAAGAGCCUGAGCAAGAAGCUUGGACCUGAGGGUGUGCACAACAUCCCAAGAAUUCCAGGUCCUGGCCUUGGUCACAUUUUACAUCUCCAGAGAAGGGUGAUUGUCCAACAUUUUUGCCUCUGAAUCUUUCUGUUUAAACGAAAACAGGAAGAAGCAUUGGAAAUCUACUCAAUUGGAGAAGGAUGUGAAUAAACCCAGACCUUUUCUUGCCCCUUCCGCUAACAUGGAUUCCCAGAGCUUGAACAAUGCUUUGGAAAGAGCUUUUGAGGGCUGGAUUUCUGGAGCUGAAACAGGGUUGGUAGAGUACUUCCCUAGCACGCACAGGCCCUGUGUCCAAUCCCUAUCCCUGUAUAAAUGAAGAAUGACACACUGGUACACAUUGGGAAUCGCAGCACUUAGGAGGAGGAUCAGGAUUUCAAAGAAAUCCUCAUACUACCCAGUGAAUUUGAGGCCAGCCUGGGAUGGAUAAGACCCUGUCUCAGAGACAACAGAGACUGCCUCAUAGCAAGAAAAAAAUGAGGAUGCUUCCUUUAGACUGAUCGAGAACAAUCACCAAACUACAGCUACGUUAAAUAGAGGAUAGGACAUCGGACUAUCUUAGUGGCAGUGAGCACUUGCUUAGAAUAGGUGGGACUCUGGGUUUAAUCUCCAGCUCUACUGAAGGAGGAGAAAAGAUAUAGAAAACUGGAUGCCAUGCAAUACAGUUAUUGGUAUUAUCAACAAAAUAGUAUUACACUCAUACACAUAUACAAUUGUAUGUGGAUGAAUAUACAAUUGCUUAUGUUAACUGCCUGGGUGACCAUAAAGUGAUAGGAAACUUUCAUAUAUACCCUUCUCCAUAUUUUAGGUCAGCUAUGUAUGAUAGAUAAUGUUUUUGUUUUUGUUGUUUUGCUUUGUUUUGAGACAGAGUCUCUUGUACCCCAGGCUGGCUUCACAUUUACUAGAUAGCAUAGGCUGGCUUUGAUCUCCUGAUCCUCCUGCCUCUACUUCCUAAGUCCUGGGAUUACAGCCUGUGAAGAUCAGACUUGAUUGUGAUGGAGUUAAGAAGGUCCUGGGAGCUGAGUGAAACAUACCUCUGGGUUUAUCUGCGAGGGCAUUUCCAGAAAGAAUUCACUAAGAUGGGAAGACCCAACUUGGAUGUGAGCGACACUAUUCUACUCAAAGAUAGAAAAACGAAAAGGCCAGCUACCCAGAGCAACUGUAUUCUCUCUCUUUUUAAUUUUAAUUAUUUUACAUGCACAGGUGUUUUGCCUGUAUGUCUGUGCACCAUGUGUGUGCCUGGUGCCAGCAGAGGCCAGAAGAAGGUGUCUGAUGUCCUAGAAUUGGAUAAAAUGAAGUUGUGAGUUGCCAUGUGAGUGCUGGGAAUUGAACCCUGGUCCUCUGGAAGAGUAUCUAGUGCUCUAAGCCACUGAACCAUCACCCCUGCCUCACUUUUUCAUUUCUAAAACAGCUAACAGCACUAUCUACGUCAUUGGGCUGCUGUGAAGAUUAAGCCAAUUAUUAUUGGGUCAGGUGUGAUGUAACACGUCUGUAACUCCAGCACUCGGGAUGCCGACUCAAGGCUAACCCGAGUUACACGGGUGCCACUUAAUUUGCUAUGGAUCUUCAACUUCUGAUCCUUCCCACAACCCUCAUCGCCACCUUCACUUCCUCAAGGUGAUGCACGUUGGGCAAGCACUAUACUCAAGUGAGCUGUACUUCCUGAGCUGGGCUUCCAGCUCUAAGCAAGCUUCUAACACUGACCUAUAUCUCCAGCCCAGGAGGAUUCACGUAUGCAAAUCGCUUUGAACAGAGCCUAGCGAAGAAGGCUAAAAGUACUUGACAUUACUAUUCAUUGGCUGUGAACUUUGAGCGUUGCUGCCUCACCAAUUUAUUUUGUUGUACGUUGUUAGGCUAACCGGAUAGUAAUGAGUAAGUCAUAUUAACAGUGUUUUGGGGCACUGCUUUUCCAGUAGGAGUGUUUCCAAACCCUGAACGUGACCCUGUUUCACAGAAGAUGACGUCAACUCUCGCUCUAGGGCCGUGGUUCUCGAUCUGUGGGUCGCAACCCCUUUGGGAUUCAGAACGACCCUUUCACAGGAGUCACAUAUCAGAAGCAUAUCAGAUAUUUACACUGAGAUUCAUAACAACUACAAAAUUACAGUUAUGAAGUAGCAACAAA